CACGUAGGCACCAAGCGUUGUCCGGAUUUAUUGGGCGUAAAGAGCUCGUAGGCGGUUCAGUAAGUCGGGUGUGAAACUUUGGGCUUAACCCAAAGCGUGCAUCCGAUACUGCUGUGACUUGAGUUCGGUAGGGGAGUGGGGAAUUCCUAGUGUAGCGGUGAAAUGCGCAGAUAUUAGGAGGAACACCGGUGGCGAAGGCGCCACUCUGGGCCGAAACUGACGCUGAGGAGCGAAAGCAUGGGUAGCAAACAGGGA
rnacentral:rRNA from 1 species